rnacentral:rRNA from 1 species
AACGAACGCUGGCGGCGUGCCUAACACAUGCAAGUCGUGCGAGAAAGUUCCUUCGGGAGCGAGUAAAGCGGCGCACGGGUGAGUAACACGUAGGUAACCUGCCCCCCAGUCUGGAACAACUAGAGGAAACUCUAGCUAAUGCCGGAUGAGACCACGAUCCCUUCGGGGGUUGCGGCCAAAGAUGGCCUCUACUUGUAAGCUAUCGCUGAGGGAUGGGCCUGCGGGCCAUUAGCUUGUUGGUGAGGUAACGGCUCACCAAGGCCGUGAUGGCUAGCUGGUCUGAGAGGAUGACCAGCCACACUGGGACUGAGACACGGCCCAGACUCCUACGGGAGGCAGCAGUGGGGAAUAUUGCGCAAUGGGCGAAAGCCUGACGCAGCGACGCCGCGUGGGUGAUGAAGGCCUGGUCGUAAGCCCUGUCGCAGGGAAGAAGUAAGCAUCGGUAUAAUACG